AUUGAACGCUGGCGGCAGGCCUAACACAUGCAAGUCGAGCGGAUGAAGGGAGCUUGCUCCUGGAUUCAGCGGCGGACUGGUGAGUAAUGCCUAGGAAUCUGCCUGGUAGUGGGGGAUAACGUCCGGAAACGGGCGCUAAUACCGCAUACGUCCUGAGGGAGAAAGUGGGGGAUCUUCGGACCUCACGCUAUCAGAUGAGCCUAGGUCGGAUUAGCUAGUUGGUGGGGUAAAGGCCUACCAAGGCGACGAUCCGUAACUGGUCUGAGAGGAUGAUCAGUCACACUGGAACUGAGACACGGUCCAGACUCCUACGGGAGGCAGCAGUGGGGAAUAUUGGACAAUGGGCGAAAGCCUGAUCCAGCCAUGCCGCGUGUGUGAAGAAGGUCUUCGGAUUGUAAAGCACUUUAAGUUGGGAGGAAGGGCAGUAAGUUAAUACCUUGCUGUUUUGACGUUACCAACAGAAUAAGCACCGGCUAACUUCGUG
rnacentral:rRNA from 1 species